rnacentral:rRNA from 1 species
CCCUUCGGGGCAAGCGCCUGUGGAACGAGCGGCGGACGGGUGAGUAACACGUGGGCAACCUGCCUGUAAGACCGGGAUAACUCGCGGAAACGCGAGCUAAUACCGGAUGACACUUCACAUUGCAUGAUGUGACGUUGAAAGGCGGCCUUUGGCUGCCACUUACAGAUGGGCCCGCGGCGCAUUAGUUAGUUGGUAAGGUAAAAGCUUACCAAGGCGACGAUGCGUAGCCGACCUGAGAGGGUGAUCGGCCACACUGGGACUGAGACACGGCCCAGACUCCUACGGGAGGCAGCAGUAGGGAAUCAUCCGCAAUGGACGAAAGUCUGACGGUGCAACGCCGCGUGAGUGAUGAAGGUUUUCGGAUCGUAAAACUCUGUUGUCAGGGAAGAACAAGUGCUGUUCGAACAGGGCGGCACCUUGACGGUACCUGACCAGAAAGCCCCGGCUAACUACGUGCCAGCAGCCGCGGUAAUACGUAGGGGGCAAGCGUUGUCCGGAAUUAUUGGGCGUAAAGCGCGCG